UACGAAGGGGGCUAGCGUUGCUCGGAAUCACUGGGCGUAAAGGGUGCGUAGGCGGGUCUUUUAAGUCAGGGGUGAAAUCCUGGAGCUCAACUCCAGAACUGCCUUUGAUACUGAAGAUCUUGAGUUCGGGAGAGGUGAGUGGAACUGCGAGUGUAGAGGUGAAAUUCGUAGAUAUUCGCAAGAACACCAGUGGCGAAGGCGGCUCACUGGCCUGAUACUGACGCUGAGGCACGAAAGCGUGGGGAGCAAACAGG
rnacentral:rRNA from 1 species